GAUGAACGCUGGCGGCGUGCCUAAUACAUGCAAGUCGAGCGAACAGACGAGGAGCUUGCUCCUCUGACGUUAGCGGCGGACGGGUGAGUAACACGUGGAUAACCUACCUAUAAGACUGGGAUAACUUCGGGAAACCGGAGCUAAUACCGGAGAAUAUAUUGAACCGCAGGGUUCAAUAGUGAAAGACGGUUUUGCUGUCACUUAUAGAGGGAUCCGCGCCGCAUUAGCUGGUUGGUAAGGUAACGGCUUACCAAGGCAACGAUGCGUAGCCGAGCGGAGGGGGUGAUCGGCCACCUUGGAACUGAGACACGGUCCAGACUCCUACGGGAGGCAGCAGUAGGGAAUCGUCCGCAAUGGGCGAAAGUCUGACGGAGCAACGCCGCGUGAGUGAUGAAGGUCUUCGGUUCGUAAAACUCUGUUAUUAGGGAAGAACAAAUGUGUAAGUAACUAUGCACGUCUUGACGGUACCUAAUCAGAAAGCCACGGCUAACUACGUG
rnacentral:rRNA from 1 species